GCCGAGCUGGCGGAAUUGGUAGACGCGCACGUUUGAGGGGCGUGUGGGGUAACCCGUGCCGGUUCGAGUCCGGCGCUCGGCACCA
rnacentral:tRNA from 1 species